GACGAACGCUGGCGGCGUGCUUAACACAUGCAAGUCGAACGGAAAGGCCCUGCUUUUGUGGGGUGCUCGAGUGGCGAACGGGUGAGUAACACGUGAGUAACCUGCCCUUGACUUUGGGAUAACUUCAGGAAACUGGGGCUAAUACCGGAUAGGAGCUCCUGCUGCAUGGUGGAGGUUGGAAAGUUUCGGCGGUUGGGGAUGGACUCGCGGCUUAUCAGCUUGUUGGUGGGGUAGUGGCUUACCAAGGCUUUGACGGGUAGCCGGCCUGAGAGGGUGACCGGCCACAUUGGGAAUGAGAUACGGCCCAGACUCCUACGGGAGGCAGCAGUGGGGAAUAUUGCACAAUGGGCGGAAGCCUGAUGCAGCAACGCCGCGUGCGGGAUGACGGCCUUCGGGUUGUAAACCGCUUUCGCCUGUGACGAAGCGUGAGUGACGGUAAUGGGUAAAGAAGCACCGGCCAACUACGUG
rnacentral:rRNA from 1 species